UGAGUGCGAGCUGCUACGGCAGCGAAGUUGGUGAUGUCAUGCUUCCAAGAAAAGCCCUAUACCCGUUAAGGCAUCAUGGCCUGUACCCGAAACCGACACAGGUGGGGUGGUAGAGAAUACCGAGGGGCGCGAGGUAACUCUCUCUAAGGAACUCGGCAAAAUGGCCCCGUAACUUCGGGAGAAGGGGUGCCACCGCAAGGUGGUCGCAGUGAAGAGGCCCAGGCGACUGUUUACCAAAAACACAGGUCUCCGCUAAGUCGCAAGACGAUGUAUGGGGGCUGACGCCUGCCCAGUGCCGGAAGGUUAAGGAAGCUGGUCAGCGCAAGCGAAGCUAGCGACUGAAGCCCCGGUGAACGGCGGCCGUAACUAUAACGGUCCUAAGGUAGCGAAAUUCCUUGUCGGGUAAGUUCCGACCCGCACGAAAGGCGUAACGAUCUGGGCGCUGUCUCGGAGAGAGGCUCGGCGAAAUAGAAUUGUCUGUGAAGAUGCGGACUACGUGCACCCGGACAGAAAGACCCUAUGAAGCUUUACUGUAGCUUGGUAUUGUGCCCGGGCUCGCAAUGCGCAGGAUAGGUGGGAGGCUUUGAUCAUCGGCUUGCGGGUCGAUGUGAGCCAACGGUGAGAUACCACUCUUUGCGAGCUAGGGUUCUAACGGCCACCCGUCAUCCGGGGGCCGGACAGUACCUGGUGGGCAGUUUGACUGGGGCGGUCGCCUCCUAAAAGGUAACGGAGGCGCGCAAAGGUUUGCUCAGGCUGGUUGGAAAUCAGCCGACGAGUGUAAAAGCAGAAGCAAGCUUGACUGUGAGACCAACAAGUCGAACAGGGAGGAAACUCGGCUUUAGUGAUCCGACGGCUCUGAGUGGAAGGGCCGUCGUUCAACGGAUAAAAGUUACUCUAGGAUAACAGGCUGAUCUCCCCCAAGAGUUCACAUCGACGGGGAGGUUUGGCACCUCGAUGUCGGCUCAUCGCAACCUGGGGCUGAAGUCGGUCCCAAGGGUUGGGCUGUUCGCCCAUUAAAGCGGUACGCGAGCUGGGUUCAGAACGUCGUGAGACAGUUCGGUCCAUAUCCGGUGCACGCGCAGGAAUAUUGAGAGGAUUUCUCCCUAGUACGAGAGGACCGGGAGGAACGCACCUCUGGUGUACCAGUUAUCGUGCCAACGGUAGACGCUGGGUAGCCAUGUGCGGAGUGGAUAACCGCUGAAAGCAUCUAAGUGGGAAGCCCACCUCAAGAUGAGUAUUCCCAUGGCGUAAGCCAGUAAGGUCACGGGAAGAACACCCGUUGAUAGGCUCUAUGUGGAAGCGCAGUAAUGCGUGAAGCAGAGGAGUACUAAUAGACCGAGGGCUUGACC
rnacentral:rRNA from 1 species